GCCGCUUCGUUGCUCUCCAGAGCUCCUCUCCUCUCCCCUUCCAUUUUUCUUUUCUUUUCUUUUCUUUGUUCCUUUUUGUUGUUUUUAUUUGGUCCUUUUUUCUCUGUUUUUCCUUCCCGUUUCCCCCCUCCCCCCUUUUUCCUUUCUUCUCUUUCCUUUUUUUUCAAUUAUAUGAUUCUAACUGAUUUUUUUCCCUUGUUAGAAUUGGUCUGGAUAUGAAGCUACUGAACGCAUGAGACACAGAAAUCAUCUUAAUUGAUCUUGCAGGUGAAAUAUUAGAAAUCUCUGGGUUUUCAGUUCCCUCGCAGCUGAAGCGCGGCCAGUUUAUUCGAGCAAAGAGGCUAAUUUUUCCGAGAAAAGCGCAGGCGAGUCCGACGAAGGUUUCUGCAUCUUCGGAUGAUAAUGGAAGCGCUCCCAAAUCCUUUGAUUACGAUCUCAUCAUUAUUGGCGCUGGCGUCAGUGGUCAUGGAGCUGCACUGCAUGCCGUAAAAAAGGGGUAAUGCUUCGUUUAGUACCAGUCAGUCUAAGCCCAAGCUUUGGCCUUUUAGCAUAGUUCAGCUUUAGACAAUACCACUCAAGAAUGCCUCUGCCAUUUGAUUAACAAAACUACGUGUUUAUUUAUGUGGGAAGCAGAAUCGGCCACCCUUGAAGCUUUAUCAAGAUCAAAGCCUUGAAGCGUAUGACCCUGGAUACUAGAUUUUGCACUAACUGUAGCUAUCUGAUCUUUGCAUUACCUGCUAUAUAUGUA